rnacentral:rRNA from 1 species
AGUGAACGCUGGCGGUAGGCCUAACACAUGCAAGUCGAACGGCAGCACAGUUAGAGCUUGCUCUUACGGGUGGCGAGUGGCGGACGGGUGAGGUAUACAUCGGACUCUACUUUUUCGUGGGGGAUAACGUAGGGAAACUUACGCUAAUACCGCAUACGACCUACGGGUGAAAGCAGGGGAUCUUGGGACCUUGCGCGAUUGAAUGAGCCGAUGUCGGAUUAGCUAGUUGGCGGGGAAAAGGCCCACCAAGGCAACGAUCCGUAGCUGGUCUGAGAGGUUGAUCGGCCACACUGGAACUGGGACACGGUCCAGACUCCUACGGAAGGCAGCAGUGGGAAAUAUUGGACAAUGGGCGCAAGCCUGAUCCAGCCAUACCGCGGGAGUGAAGAAGGCCUUCGGGUUGUAAAGCCCUUUUGUUGGGAAAGAAAAGCAGCAGGUUAAAACCCCGCUGUUCUGACGGUACCGAAAGAAUAAGCACCGGCUAACUUCGU